rnacentral:rRNA from 1 species
ACGAACGCUGGCGGCGUGCCUAAUACAUGCAAGUCGAACGGUCUUUCUAUGGAAGCUUGCUUCCACUGAGAAGAUAGUGGCGAACGGGUGAGUAACACGUGGGUAACCUGCCCAUAAGAGGGGGAUAACAUCCGGAAACGGGUGCUAAUACCGCAUAGUUUUCUUGAUUGCAUGAUUGAGAAAGGAAAGACGGCCUUUGUGCUGUCGCUUAUGGAUGGACCCGCGGCGUAUUAGUUAGUUGGUGAGGUAACGGCUCACCAAGACGAUGAUACGUAGCCGACCUGAGAGGGUGAUCGGCCACAUUGGGACUGAGACACGGCCCAAACUCCUACGGGAGGCAGCAGUAGGGAAUCUUCCGCAAUGGACGAAAGUCUGACGGAGCAACGCCGCGUGAGUGAAGAAAGGUUUUCGGAUCGUAAAACUCUGUUGUCAGAGAAGAACAAGUUGGAGAGUAACUGCUCCAGCCUUGACGGUAUCUGACCAGAAAGCCACGGCUAACUACGUGCCAGCCGCCGC